CUGUCCAGUAAAGCAAUGAUAAGGCAUAUUUUAAACUUUAUUCAUAUUUCAUCAGUUUUACAUUAUUUCACAUUACACCAUAGUAUAUAUUAUUGACAUUAAGCCAUGCUGUGGUAAUAUGUAAAAUAGGGGUGCACCAGAACCAAUUUUUAAAGUUCCUGCCGGAACUGCAAAAAAGUUCUGGCAGACACUUCAAGUCAUCAAGGUGGACUUGCAAAUGUGAGAAUAAAAAGAUUGACAAACUUUAAACGUCAUGUACAUUUUCCUUUUGUAGUCCAAAUUUCUUCCUGGUGUGAACUUUUGUUUGACACAAAAACGUAUGAUAUUCUAUCUCUCUGAAAACAACAGAGUUCCAGUUCCGGUCAUGCUUUUUCUAUUAGUUCCGGCUGGAACUCUGAAAAAUCGGAGUUCCGGCAGGAACUAACCGGCCGGAACUGAGUUCUGGUGCACCACUGCACCCACAAUGUAAAAUCAUAAUUUUAAAAAAUAAAUAAGUUAAGAAGUUAACAUGUAAAUAUAUGAAUAGGUAUAAAUAAUUUUAAUAUUUCAUGACUCUAGAUAAUAUUUUAUACAGUAGGUUUAAAAAAGCACUGUUUCCUAUUCUUCUAGCCUUAUACUUUCCAUGUAUUUUGGUUAAAUGGAAAUAGUGCAACAUUUCAUAAAAUAUGCUGUUUAAUUAGUGCUGCUUCUAAAAACAAAAUAAUUUCAAAAUCAAUUGACUUGUGGCUUUAUUCUGUUUAUAACCAGUGACCGUCGUGUACCAGAACUGUAUGUGGCUGCACAGAGUUAUAUAUUUUACCAUUUAUGGUUGUCUGUUAGUUUAAUUUGUCUGGUGGCAUACAGACAUACACCUCAAACCUGGGUAUAAAAUCUCUGUCUCAUCAAUAUCACAUGUACCUCUUCAUCAUCUUAUCUGUUGACUCUCAAUGAGGUGGUAGAUCUACUAAGCAGACAGGAUUCAUAUGUUGAUGGUAGCAAUUACAUGGUGCUUGUCUUUUUACUGAUUU